rnacentral:rRNA from 1 species
UACAGAGGUCCCCGAGCGUUGUUCGGAUUCACUGGGCGUAAAGGGUGCGCAGGUGGCAUGGCAAGUUUGAUGUGAAAGCUCAGGGCUCAACCCUGAAAUGGCAUUGAAUACUGCCGUGCUGGAGGUUUGGAGGGGCGUGGAAUUCUCGGUGUAGCAGUGAAAUGCGUAGAUAUCGAGAGGAACACCAGUGGCGAAGGCGAGUCCCUGGACAACACCUGACACUGAGGCACGAAAGCUAGGGGAGCAAACAGGAUUAGAAACCCUUGUAGU